UACGAAGGGGGCUAGCGUUGCUCGGAAUCACUGGGCGUAAAGGGUGCGUAGGCGGGUCUUUAAGUCAGGGGUGAAAUCCUGGAGCUCAACUCCAGAACUGCCUUUGAUACUGAAGAUCUUGAGUUCGGGAGAGGUGAGUGGAACUGCGAGUGUAGGGGUGAAAUUCGUAGAUAUUCGCAAGAACACCAGUGGCGAAGGCGGCUCACUGGUCCGGUACUGACGCUGAGGCACGAAAGCGUGGGGAGCAAACAGGG
rnacentral:rRNA from 1 species